CCUACGGGAGGCAGCAGUGGGGAAUAUUGCACAAUGGGGGAAACCCUGAUGCAGCGACGCCGCGUGAGUGAAGAAGUAUCUCGGUACGUAAAGCUCUAUCAGCAGGGAAGAAAAUGACGGUACCUGACUAAGAAGCCCCGGCUAACUACGUGACCGCAGCCGCGGUAAUACGGAGGGGGCAAGCGUUAUCCGGAUUUACUGGGUGUAAAGGGAGCGUAGACGGUAUCAGAAGUCUGGAGGGAAAUCCCCGGGCUUAACCCCGGAACUGCUUUGGAAACUGCGCGGCUUGAGUGCAGGAGGGGUAAGCGGAAUUCGUAGUGUAGCGGUGAAAUGCGUAGAUAUUACGAGGAACACCGGUGGCGAAGGCGGUUUACUGGACUGUAACUGACGUUGAGGCUCGAAAGCGUGGGGAGCAAACAGGAUUAGAUACCCGAGUAGUC
rnacentral:rRNA from 1 species